rnacentral:rRNA from 1 species
AGAGCGAACGCUGGCGGCAGGCCUAACACAUGCAAGUCGAGCGCCCCGCAAGGGGAGCGGCAGACGGGAGAGUAACACGUGGGAACGUGCCCUUUGGUUCGGAACAACACAGGGAAACUUGUGCUAAAUACCGGAUAAGCCCUUACGGGGAAAGAUUUAUCGCCAAAGGAUCGGCCCGCGUCUGAUUAGCUAGUUGGUGAGGUAACGGCUCACCAAGGCUACGAUCAGUAGCUGGUCUGAGAGGAUGAUCAGCCUCACUGGGACUGAGACACGGCCCAGACUCCUACGGGAGGCAGCAGUGGGGAAUAUUGGACAAUGGGCGCAAGCCUGAUCCAGCCAUGCCGCGUGGGUGAUGAAGGCCCUAGGGUUGUAAAGCCCUUUCGGCGGGGAAGAUAAUGACGGUACCCGCAGAAGAAGCCCCGGCUAACUUCGUGCCAGCAGCCGC